rnacentral:rRNA from 1 species
AUUGAACGCUGGCGGCAGGCCUAACACAUGCAAGUCGAGCGGAUGAAGGGUGCUUGCUCCUGGAUUCAGCGGCGGACGGGUGAGUAAUGCCUAGGAAUCUGCCUGGCAGUGGGGGAUAACGUCCGGAAACGGGCGCUAAUACCGCAUACGUCCUGCGGGAGAAAGUGGGGGAUCUUCGGACCUCUCGCUAUCAGAUGAGCCUAGGUCGGAUUAGCUAGUUGGUGGGGUAAAGGCCUACCAAGGCGACGAUCCGUAACUGGUCUGAGAGGAUGAUCAGUCACACUGGAACUGAGACACGGUCCAGACUCCUACGGGAGGCAGCAGUGGGGAAUAUUGGACAAUGGGCGAAAGCCUGAUCCAGCCAUGCCGCGUGUGUGAAGAAGGUCUUCGGAUUGUAAAGCACUUUAAGUUGGGAGGAAGGGCAGUAAGUUAAUACCUUGCUGUUUCGACGUUACCAACAGAAUAAGCACCGGCUAACUUCGUG